CAACGAGGCAGCAUCAGCGUUCCUCCUUGUAACGUCAUAAACUUUCGCACACACAAGCAACAAAGCACGGGCGUUAUUCAGCGCACGGAGCAAACGUAUGCACAGACAUUGCUUAUCCGACCAGCAUCCCUUAUUCAACUGUUCCAAACGGAGACACUUCGACACUGAUGCAAUCCGGAUUCCUUCUCCACCCACAUACAUGAACAGGUGAGCUUACCUGUCCUCCAUGACGGAUGUGAUGUGGCGAUGUGUCUUUGUUUGACACCGCGGUACUUACUGCGCGUCCCGGUGAUGCCUUUGCGCCGUGAGCAUCGCUUUUUUGUUGCCUUUUUUGUUGACAAAAUGUAACGACUUGCCUGUCAUUAAAGUCGUUUGAAAGGAUGAGGUCCUGUAUAUUUGUGUGACGCGCUGCUGUUGGUUCACAAGCACGCUGAGUCCAGAAAUGUUUCAAACUUUUAAUGCUUCAAAACAUCAAAACUCCACAGCUACAUCAGCGGCUUUCAGGUUACACACGCCUAAUAGAUGGUGAACGUGCACUGGUGGCGAAUAUGUAACAAAACAAUAAAGUGAACAAAAGGCGGAAAAAAUGGAAAGUUGCGGUCAACAAAAAUUGCGGCUACCUACACUCCUCUCUCUCCUCCGCUGUGCAGGUAAACCAGCUCCCUAUAUCACCUACGGCAAUCAUCCCCAGUGCCCAUGUGACCCAAGCCCUGUGCAUCACCGUGGCAACCAGCCCAAGCAAAGCAAGAGAUAAAUAAUCCACCAGUGACACAAUACGGCUCCUACACUAAUGUUGUCUGACUGAAUAUCCUUCACACCAAAGGUUCCGCUCUUCUUCUACGUUUUAGUGCCGCUGGCGUCCGUCUCGCAUCACUGCCAUCUUGUGGAUUAGCUGUCCUCAAAUAUGAUUUUUUAAAAAAGAAAUACAUCAUUUGGAUUUAAAUUAAUUUAAUUUCACCAUAUAUGUGUUAUAUUAGCUUUUUAUCAUUAUUUAUUUUCUAAUAAUCCAUGGCUGCCCUUUAGUUUAAUUUAAGUUAUUGGAUUUUAAUUGUAUUUAUAUGUUGUAUUUAUAUUUGUAUUUAUUAUUAUUUAUUUGGUCGAUGUUCCCAUUAGGAAGCCUGAGAAAGAUGCAAGCAAACCAACAACUGUAGACCAAUACCCUGAACACUGCACAUACGAAAACUGAUGGAACGAAUGGCCAGUAGGGGGCGAUAGUGGAGCCUGUGUAACUCGGGGACUGCCUCGAUCGACGCACCGCUGGCUGCUCGUCCAUCUGCCGAUAGCGACCUGUGGAGCAGCAACAGACGCUUCGGUACAUCGACUCUCCUGUUAUCAGGUUAGUUUGGUCCGGCAGCCCACUGAUCGUUAUCCAUAGAGAACGCUGUGAUGUUAAGUUCAUGUUUUUCAAGUAGAGCCUUGCUUUUACUUUUAAAAGCCUGUCCAUAUGAGUAAAGUCAGUGAUGUUAAGUUAGCCCGCGGUAGCAUUGGCCGGGGCUAGCAUGUUAAAAAAAAAAAAAAAAAACGACCUAAA